AUUGGAGAGGUGUAUUAAUGUGUUUAUGUCUCACUUUCUUACUAAGAUAUUCUUGUGAUAAAUAGGACUACUUACCAUUUUGUUGUACUCCAAUGAUUCUGCUAGAUGAUGCUUCACUCCUUCCAUGGAAGGGAUUCGAAUUUUCUCGUGCAUUGUCCUGCACACAUUGGGGCACCAUAUCAGAUAAGAAUUCCAUAAAAGUAUCAACACUAUGCGUGUUGAAUAGCAUUGUCCUCACCAUGUGAGAUGGAGGAAGCUGUUCUAGCCCAUUUGUAUGAGGUCCAGUACCAGUCAAGAUCAUGUUAUGAGACACAAGGGAAGGUCCUAAUUCACCUCCUCUCAGAGAAUUACCUGAAAAGAUAACCAGGGAGACACUACACAUAAACAUCAACAUGUGAGUAUUGGAGAGGUGUACUAAUGUGUUUAUGUCGCAUACCGUAAAAUCUCUCCAAAUUGUCCCCCUUGUUGUAUGCCUCCAAUACCCACUCCUUCACACACUCCUAAAGGUGUUUGUAAGGCUUGCCGUUGACACUUUGGACUUCACAAAUAGAGUUCAAGAUGAGAUCAAAAGGCUCCCUGCUAUACAUGUAGAGAACCUCUCCCCUGUUGCAGGUUUUUGCAUGCUCGACAGUUUCAUUCAACAUUCUCCUCGGCAUAUUUGUAAUCUAACAACAACAGAGACUUUGGGAUCAUGAAUGCACUUAUUGAGAUACUUGAACCCCUGGAGAGUGCACAUGUUCAACUUACCUUUUGAAGGUGCUCCUGAUCAACAACUGCGAGCUUGAGGAAAUCUUUCACAGUGGUAAUGUUGCGAGCAGCCAGUCUCUUCAUGAAUUCACCAUUCAGUCUAAUGUUUUCCAGCUUGAAUACCUUAUCAUCCAGAGAUGGGGGGUAGCUUUUCUGAUGCUCUGGAAAAGAAAGACAUUCCUCUUUCAGUAUGCAAUCGGGUUACAUCAUGAAAUGCUGUUACGUCUAGGAUUGUUAGAUCUAGAGAGGUACACUGAAAGAAGGGAGACUUACGUUUGCUUCGUUCAACUAAAACUUUAAAGCAUUCUGUAACUGCUGGUUUGAUCUCCCAGCCGACAUGGCUGCUAGGGGAAACUUUGGCGCCUAACUUAAACUUGCCGGAUUUGGCCAAAGUGGAACUAUCAGUGAGCUUGAUACCUCCAAAAGAAGCAAUGCCUUCAUGCAAUCUGGCCUUGUAGGCUCCUAAGAGCAAUGGCUUCUUUCCUUCCCGUGCCUUCAAUAUUUUGCUAUUGAAUUCCUCAGUACUCCACUCGCCACUGCUAUCACUGGGGAACUCUCCAUCAACAACCACUAUCUCUACUUCAACAGGGAAUUCAAGAGGCGGGCUAUAUAUUUGUCCAGAUUCAAUUUGCCUAAGGGCAACCUGGAGAUUGUUAUGAUCCUCAUCUUUGAUAAGAUCCUCAGCGAAGAAGGUUGAUUGGAGCAGCUUCUUUUGGAAGGAGAGUUGCAGCUUUGGUGCUGCUGGCCCAGCUUCUUUGAUAGGCAGUCUGGGAGAUCUACAGGGCACGAGAAUGAUUUCUAAAUGACAAACGAAACAUUAGACAGAAGGGGAUUUCAUGAGUUGUACCUCAGUAAGGGGUCUGCAUGAGCAAUCAGAGGUUCCAUCUGCUGAACCACAAUACCAUUAGUUUGGGCGUUGAUUUGAGCAAGUACGUCCAUCGGUCUUUCCUCGCGCAUCUAUACGAGUAAUGCAAAUUUCAAGAUUAGUUUCAGCUUUCUAGUUCUCCGCAUCCCCUACAAUUUUAGCGGUCGAGUGUUGCACCUGUUGACGCAUGACAAGAGCAGUUUGAUCCAUAUCCUGAGGUAUUAUGUUCCGCAGCUCCCCAAGCACCUGAGUCAGUUUUAUGCUGUUAAAUCGAUAUCAUGGAGUUUGUUUGACAAAAUGCAUACGGAGUUAUUGUGAUUCCCACCUUCUGCAUGACAUCAACCUCAAUUUGAUUGAUAAUAUGUGGAACAAUGCGCCCAAGCUCGUCAUGCAACUAAAACAGAUAGAUGAGACAUUAGUGAGCAGACAGUUGAGAUUUUUCAAGCAUAUUCAAGUCUUAGUUCUUGAUGCCAAACAAAGAAGAGCACGAAUCCCAGGGUAAAUCUAUUCCAUUUGUGUUCUAAACUAGAGAAGAUCAAACAAACAAGGCAAUAUACCAGAUUGCUGACCAGGGGUUUCACCACCAAGCCAACAUACUGUAUUCCUAGAGCUUGCAUGAUCACCCUGGAAUAAGAAAUGCAGAUGGAAACACAAUUCGCGGGAAAAAGAUUUACUUGCUCAUGAGACAAUUUGGUGUAGUUUAGCUGAGAAGAAAAAUGAUGACAAGUAAAAAAAAAAAAAAAGGGAAAAAGGAGACUCACUUCUUGAAAGAAGGUUUAGUCCUCAUCCCUGUAGCUCUUCUCUGUUGGUUUGAGCGGCUGGCUAAUUCUGACCGAGUUCUUCUGAAAUCCAUUUUUUUUUUAUGUUCUUGUUUUGAUUUGUUGGAGAAGAAUUGUGGGAUUGCUCUCCUAAUUAGGAACUGAAGAAAGAGAUAUAUAUAAAAGAGAAGCAAGAAGGCAGGGGAAGAUCGUAGAGAAAGUGAAACUGGAAAGGCAGAAAAUGAUGAAUGGACAAGCAGGAAAACUGGAGGAGGGUUGGACGCUUCAAACUACGCGAAUGCAACUCCACUAGUGCAUCCCUGUUCCUUUUAUUCAACGAGAAGACGCGUAUUUAUUUUAGUUUUUUUGGAUUAUUAAAACUUUGAAGAACAUCAGAGGAAAUGUAAUGGAAAUUUGAGUGAAACGUGAUGGAAAUCUUGACUAGAGAUUGAUGCAGUUGAAUUCGUUGAUGUA